UUAAGCGACUAAGCGUACACGGUGGAUGCCCUGGCAGUCAGAGGCGAUGAAGGACGUGCUAAUCUGCGAAAAGCGUCGGUAAGGUGAUAUGAACCGUUACAGCCGGCGAUGUCCGAAUGGGGAAACCCAGUGCAAUUCGUUGCACUAUCGUUAACUGAAUACAUAGGUUAACGAGGCGAACCGGGGGAACUGAAACAUCUAAGUACCCCGAGGAAAAGAAAUCAACCGAGAUUCCCCCAGUAGCGGCGAGCGAACGGGGAGCAGCCCGGAGUCUGAAUCAGCUUGUGUGUUAGUGGAAGCGUCUGGAAAGUCGCAGGGUACAGGGUGAUACUCCCGUACACUAAAACACACAGGCUGUGAACUCGAAGAGUAGGGCGGGACACGUGGUAUCCUGUCUGAAUAUGGGGGGACCAUCCUCCAAGGCUAAAUACUCCUGACUGACCGAUAGUGAACCAGUACCGUGAGGGAAAGGCGAAAAGAACCCCGGCGAGGGGAGUGAAAAAGAACCUGAAACCGUGUACGUACAAGCAGUAGGAGCCCACUAGUUGGGUGACUGCGUACCUUUUGUAUAAUGGGUCAGCGACUUAUAUUCUGUAGCAAGGUUAACCGAAUAGGGGAGCCGCAGGGAAACCGAGUCUUAACUGGGCGUUAAGUUGCAGGGUAUAGACCCGAAACCCGGUGAUCUAGCCAUGGGCAGGUUGAAGGUUGGGUAACACUAACUGGAGGACCGAACCGACUAAUGUUGAAAAAUUAGCGGAUGACUUGUGGCUGGGGGUGAAAGGCCAAUCAAACCGGGAGAUAGCUGGUUCUCCCCGAAAGCUAUUUAGGUAGCGCCUCGUGAACUCAUCUUCGGGGGUAGAGCACUGUUUCGGCUAGGGGGUCAUCCCGACUUACCAACCCGAUGCAAACUACGAAUACCGAAGAAUGUUAUCACGGGAGACACACGGCGGGUGCUAACGUCCGUCGUGAAGAGGGAAACAACCCAGACCGCCAGCUAAGGUCCCAAAGUCAUGGUUAAGUGGGAAACGAUGUGGGAAGGCCCAGACAGCCAGGAUGUUGGCUUAGAAGCAGCCAUCAUUUAAAGAAAGCGUAAUAGCUCACUGGUCGAGUCGGCCUGCGCGGAAGAUGUAACGGGGCUAAACCAUGCACCGAAGCUGCGGCAGCGACGCUUAUGCGUUGUUGGGUAGGGGAGCGUUCUGUAAGCCGUUGAAGGUGGCCUGUGAGGGUUGCUGGAGGUAUCAGAAGUGCGAAUGCUGACAUAAGUAACGAUAAUGCGGGUGAAAAACCCGCACGCCGGAAGACCAAGGGUUCCUGUCCAACGUUAAUCGGGGCAGGGUGAGUCGACCCCUAAGGCGAGGCCGAAAGGCGUAGUCGAUGGGAAACAGGUUAAUAUUCCUGUACUUGGUGUUACUGCGAAGGGGGGACGGAGAAGGCUAUGUUGGCCGGGCGACGGUUGUCCCGGUUUAAGCAUGUAGGCGGAUGUUCCAGGUAAAUCCGGAACGUUAUUAACGCUGAGGUGUGAUGACGAGGCACUACGGUGCUGAAGUGACAAAUGCCCUGCUUCCAGGAAAAGCCUCUAAGCAUCAGGUAACAUCAAAUCGUACCCCAAACCGACACAGGUGGUCAGGUAGAGAAUACCAAGGCGCUUGAGAGAACUCGGGUGAAGGAACUAGGCAAAAUGGUGCCGUAACUUCGGGAGAAGGCACGCUGAUGGUAAGUGAAGUGACUUGCUCAUGGAGCUGAAAUCAGUCGAAGAUACCAGCUGGCUGCAACUGUUUAUUAAAAACACAGCACUGUGCAAACACGAAAGUGGACGUAUACGGUGUGACGCCUGCCCGGUGCCGGAAGGUUAAUUGAUGGGGUUAUCCUCGCGGAGAAGCUCUUGAUCGAAGCCCCGGUAAACGGCGGCCGUAACUAUAACGGUCCUAAGGUAGCGAAAUUCCUUGUCGGGUAAGUUCCGACCUGCACGAAUGGCGUAAUGAUGGCCAGGCUGUCUCCACCCGAGACUCAGUGAAAUUGAACUCGCUGUGAAGAUGCAGUGUACCCGCGGCAAGACGGAAAGACCCCGUGAACCUUUACUAUAGCUUGACACUGAACACUGGUCCUUGAUGUGUAGGAUAGGUGGGAGGCUUUGAAGUGUGGACGCCAGUCUGCAUGGAGCCAUCCUUGAAAUACCACCCUUUAAUGGCUGGUGUUCUAACGUGGGCCCGUAAUCCGGGUUGCGGACAGUGUCUGGUGGGUAGUUUGACUGGGGCGGUCUCCUCCUAAAGAGUAACGGAGGAGCACGAAGGUCAGCUAAUCCUGGUCGGACAUCAGGAGGUUAGUGCAAUGGCAUAAGCUGGCUUGACUGCGAGCGUGACGGCGCGAGCAGGUGCGAAAGCAGGUCAUAGUGAUCCGGUGGUUCUGAAUGGAAGGGCCAUCGCUCAACGGAUAAAAGGUACUCCGGGGAUAACAGGCUGAUACCGCCCAAGAGUUCAUAUCGACGGCGGUGUUUGGCACCUCGAUGUCGGCUCAUCACAUCCUGGGGCUGAAGUAGGUCCCAAGGGUAUGGCUGUUCGCCAUUUAAAGUGGUACGCGAGCUGGGUUUAGAACGUCGUGAGACAGUUCGGUCCCUAUCUGCCGUGGGCGCUGGAGAAUUGAGGGGGGCUGCUCCUAGUACGAGAGGACCGGAGUGGACGCAUCACUGGUGUUCGGGUUGUCAUGCCAAUGGCAUUGCCCGGUAGCUAAAUGCGGAAGAGAUAAGUGCUGAAAGCAUCUAAGCACGAAACUUGCCCCGAGAUGAGUUCUCCCUGACCCUUUAAGGGUCCUGAAGGAACGUUGAAGACGACGACGUUGAUAGGCCGGGUGUGUAAGCGCAGCGAUGCGUUGAGCUAACCGGUACUAAUGAACCGUGAGGCUUAACCUU
rnacentral:rRNA from 1 species